AGCGAACGCUGGCGGCAGGCUUAACACAUGCAAGUCGAGCGCCCCGCAAGGGGAGCGGCAGACGGGAGAGUAACACGUGGGAACAUACCUUUUGGUUCGGAACAACUGAGGGAAACUUCAGCUAAUACCGGAUAAGCCCUUACGGGGAGAGAUUUAUCGCCGAAAGAUUGGCCCGCGUCUGAUUAGCUAGUUGGUGAGGUAACGGCUCACCAAGGCGACGAUCAGUAGCUGGUCUGAGAGGAUGAUCAGCCUCACUGGGACUGAGACACGGCCCAGACUCCUACGGGAGGCAGCAGUGGGGAAUAUUGGACAAUGGGGGCAACCCUGAUCCAGCCAUGCCGCGUGAGUGAUGAAGGCCUUAGGGUUGUAAAGCUCUUUUGCCCGGGAAGAUAAUGACGGUACCGGGAGAAUAAGCCCCGGCUAACUUCGUG
rnacentral:rRNA from 1 species